CCCCUAGUAGCGGCGAGUGAAGAGGGAAAAGCUCAAACUUUGAAUCUGGUGUCUUUGGCAUCCGAGUUGUAAUCUAGAGAAGUGUUUUUYGCCUUGGACCACACAUAAAUUCCCUGGAAUGGGGUGUCAUAGAGGGUGAGAAUCCCGUUUGUGGUGUGGACUACCUUGGCUAUGUAAUACACUCUCAACGAGUCGAGUUGUUUGGGAAUGCAGCUCAAAAUGGGUGGUAAAUUCCAUCUAAAGCUAAAUAYUGGCGAGAGACCGAUAGCGAACAAGUACCGUGAGGGAAAGAUGAAAAGCACUUUGGAAAGAGAGUGAAACAGUACGUGAAAUUGUUGAAAGGGAAGCGUUUGAAGUCAGUCACAUUGGUCAGAAUUCAGCCUGGCUUCUGCCUGGUUCACUUUUUGGCAAAUGGGUCAGCAUCAAUUUUGAUUGAGGGAGAAAGACUUGAGGAAUGUGGCUGUCUUCGGAUAGUGUUAUAGCCUCUUGUUGUAUKKCUCARUUGGGAUUGAGGAAYGCAGCACGCCUUAUGGCCGGGGUUCGCCCUCUGUACGUGCUYAGGAUGUUGAC
rnacentral:rRNA from 1 species